rnacentral:rRNA from 1 species
AUUGAACGCUGGCGGCAUGCUUUACACAUGCAAGUCGGACGGCAGCACAGAGAGGCUUGCUUCUUGGGUGGCGAGUGGCGAACGGGUGAGUAAUAUAUCGGAACGUACCGAGUAAUGGGGGAUAACUAAUCGAAAGAUUAGCUAAUACCGCAUAUUCUCUGAGGAGGAAAGCAGGGGACCUUCGGGCCUUGCGUUAUUCGAGCGGCCGAUAUCUGAUUAGCUAGUUGGUGGGGUAAAGGCCUACCAAGGCGACGAUCAGUAGCGGGUCUGAGAGGAUGAUCCGCCACACUGGGACUGAGACACGGCCCAGACUCCUACGGGAGGCAGCAGUGGGGAAUUUUGGACAAUGGGCGCAAGCCUGAUCCAGCCAUGCCGCGUGUCUGAAGAAGGCCUUCGGGUUGUAAAGGACUUUUGUCAGGGAAGAAAAGGCUGUUGCUAAUACCGACAGCUGAUGACGGUACCUGAAGAAUAAGCACCGGCUAACUACGUG